UACGUAGGGUGCAAGCGUUGUCCGGAAUUAUUGGGCGUAAAGAGCUUGUAGGCGGUUUGUCGCGUCUGCUGUGAAAUUUCGGGGCUCAACCCCGAACUUGCAGUGGGUACGGGCAAACUAGAGUGUGGUAGGGGAGACUGGAAUUCCUGGUGUAGCGGUGAAAUGCGCAGAUAUCAGGAGGAACACCGAUGGCGAAGGCAGCUCGCUGGGACGGUACUGACGCUGAGGCGCGAAAGCGUGGGGAGCAAACAGG
rnacentral:rRNA from 1 species